rnacentral:rRNA from 1 species
UACGUAGGAGGCAAGCGUUGUCCGGAAUCACUGGGCGUAAAGCGCGUGUAGGUGGUGGGACAAGUCUGCUGUGAAAGCGCCUGGCUUAACCGGGCGAGGUCGGCGGAAACUGUUCGACUCGAGGACGGUAGAGGGGGGUGGAAUUCCCGGUGUAGCGGUGAAAUGCGCAGAUAUCAGGAGGAACACCGAUGGCGAAGGCAGGUCUCUGGGCCACUACUGACGCUGAGAAGCGAAAGCGUGGGGGAGCGAACAGG